GGUGGUGUAGUGGUCAGAUGCUCAGCUGCUAACUGAAAGGUUGGUGGUUCAAACCCACCAGCCACUC
rnacentral:tRNA from 1 species